AGUGAACGCUGGCGGUAGGCCUAACACAUGCAAGUCGAACGGCAGCACAGUAAGAGCUUGCUCUUACGGGUGGCGAGUGGCGGACGGGUGAGGAAUACAUCGGAAUCUACUUUUUCGUGGGGGAUAACGUAGGGAAACUUACGCUAAUACCGCAUACGACCUACGGGUGAAAGCAGGGGAUCUUCGGACCUUGCGCGAUUGAAUGAGCCGAUGUCGGAUUAGCUAGUUGGCGGGGUAAAGGCCCACCAAGGCGACGAUCCGUAGCUGGUCUGAGAGGAUGGUCCGCCACACUGGAACUGAGACACGGCCCAGACUCCUACGGGAGGCCGCAGGGGGGAAUAUUGGACAAUGGGCGCAAGCCUGAUCCAGCCAUACCGCGUGGGUGAAGAAGGCCUGCGGGUUGUAAAGCCCUUUUGUUGGGAAAGAAAAGCAGCAGGUUAAUACCCCGCUGUUCUGACGGUACCCAAAGAAUAAGCACCGGCUAACUUCGU
rnacentral:rRNA from 1 species